GUAUCAGUGGGCGGUUGCUCUUUGUGUCCCAGUUCAGGGCUGAGCUUAAAUAGAUGCUGUCUUUCUUGAGGGUCACAUCACGGGUGACGACCAAGCUAGAAAAUGAAGUCUUGUAUGUUGGGUUUCUAUGCAGUUCUGAUGCUGUGGCCUCUGGUCUUGUUUUCAAUUCAAGAUGCUCGCGUUAUUUCAAGCUGUCUGACAACUACAGAUACUAAAGUCCCUCUGAAGAAUCUGCUAAACUACACAAUCCAGAGCAAACCCUUGUUCUCUGUGGAUGCUGCGAGAUUUCUUACAAUCAAAAGAAAAACAAUCUGCUCAGAUCCCACCUCAUCAUGGGCCAAAAACGCAAUGAAUUACCUGGAUCAAAAGAACAAAAAACGGCAGUCAGUAUCAAACAAAACAGCUCGUCAAUCUGUGACACAGGUUCCUGUGAAUACAUCCAUCGCAAAUAGGACUCGGUUAUCGGCACAGAUUUAAAUGAUGACCCUUUUGGAUGAAAAUUGUUGGUUGAACUGUAUGACUUUGCGUUUUUAAUGGUUUUCUUUUUAUUGCACUUUAUUGUAC